rnacentral:rRNA from 1 species
GAUGAACGCUGGCGGCGUGCCUAAUACAUGCAAGUCGAGCGAACAGACGAGGAGCUUGCUCCUCUGACGUUAGCGGCGGACGGGUGAGUAACACGUGGAUAACCUACCUAUAAGACUGGGAUAACUUCGGGAAACCGGAGCUAAUACCGGAUAAUAUAUUGAACCGCAUGGUUCAAUAGUGAAAGACGGUUUUGCUGUCACUUAUAGAUGGAUCCGCGCCGCAUUAGCUAGUUGGUAAGGUAACGGCUUACCAAGGCAACGAUGCGUAGCCGACCUGAGAGGGGGGUAGCCAACAGGGAAAGUGAGACAGGGUCAGAACACCAAGGGGAGGAGGAGGAGGGAAAUUUUCCGAAAGGGGCAAAAUAUAGAGGAGAAACGCCGGGGGGAGGAAGAAAGUUUUUGGAAUAGAAAAACUUUGUUAUGGGGGAAAAAAAAAGGGGAAAGUACUUAUGCACGUUUGGAGGGACCAAAAUAAAAAAGACAGGACAAAAUACGGC